CCUACGGGGGGCAGCAGUGGGGAAUAUUGCACAAUGGGCGAAAGCCUGAUGCAGCAACGCCGCGUGAAGGAAGAAGGGUUUCGGCUCGUAAACUUCUAUCAACAGGGACGAAAGAAAUGACGGUACCUGAAUAAGAAGCCCCGGCUAACUACGUGCCAGCAGCCGCGGUAAUACGUAGGGGGCAAGCGUUAUCCGGAAUUACUGGGUGUAAAGGGAGCGCAGGCGGGAAGCCAAGUCAGCUGUGAAAA
rnacentral:rRNA from 1 species